GAAAUUGAGGCACGCAAUCCAC
rnacentral:miRNA from 1 species